rfam:Bombyx mori DNA, contig: Bm_scaf29_contig18606, strain: p50T/Dazao, build 2, whole genome shotgun sequence.
UUAACUUAAUUUUGUAUGGAGUUGGAGCGUUUGCCUAUGUUAGCCGUCAGGGGCGCUGUUCCAACUCCAUACAAAUUUGAGUUA